rnacentral:rRNA from 1 species
CCUACGGGUGGCAGCAGUGAGGAACAUUGGUCAAUGGCCGGAAGGCUGAACCAGCCAUGCCGCGUGAAGGUCAGUGCCCUAUGGGCGUUAAACUUCUUUUGUGCGGGAGCAAUAAUGGUCACGUGUGGCCAGACGAGAGUACCGUACGAAUAAGCAUCGGCUAACUCCGGGCCAGCAGCCGCGGUAAUACGGGGGAUGCAAGCGUUAUCCGGUUUUAUUGGGUUUAAAGGGUGCGUAGGCUGGGAGGUAAGUCAGCGGUGAAAUGCCCCGGCUCAAAGGGGUGAAGUGCCAUUGAUACUGCCUGGCUGGAAUGCGGAUGCCGUGGGAGGAAUGUGUGGUGUAGCGGUGAAAUGCAUAGAUAUCACACAGAACACCGAUUGCGAAGGCAUCUCACGGAUCCGCGAUUGACGCUGAUGCACGAAAGCGUGGGUAUCAAACAGGAUUAGAUACCCCAGUAGUC